rnacentral:rRNA from 1 species
AUUGAACGCUGGCGGCAGGCCUAACACAUGCAAGUCGAACGGUAGCACAGAGAGCUUGCUCUCGGGUGACGAGUGGCGGACGGGUGAGUAAUGUCUGGGAAACUGCCUGAUGGAGGGGGAUAACUACUGGAAACGGUAGCUAAUACCGCAUAACGUCGCAAGACCAAAGAGGGGGACCUUCGGGCCUCUUGCCAUCAGAUGUGCCCAGAUGGGAUUAGCCAGUAGGUGGGGUAACGGCUCACCUAGGCGACGAUCCCUAGCUGGUCUGAGAGGAUGAACAGCCACACUGGAACUGAGACACGGUCCAGACUCCUACGGGAGUCAGCAGUGGGGAAUAUUGCACAAUGGGCGCAAGCCUGAUGCAGCCAUGCCGCGUGUAUGAAGAAGGCCUUCGGGUUGUAAAGUACUUUCAGCGGGGAGGAAGGCGAUAAGGUUAAUAACCUUGUCGAUUGACGUUACCCGCAGAAGAAGCACCGGCUAACUCCGUGCCAGCAGCCGCCGUAA